rnacentral:rRNA from 1 species
AUGAGGCAGAGAUGGCCUGUCUCGAGCACAUUGAUCAAGUGCAGCUCUGGAUGCGGCUAUGAAGUAUGCGUCUCCCCAAGUGCCCCCACGCAUGCCGGUAACAUCAGCGAGUCUUGGCUGCACUUGGUGUUGGGAAAGAGCUCCUGGGUCCUUCGCAGCCUCCUUGGCGAUCCAAUUGAGGCUCAUAUGGAUCGGCUGCAUAUAUGCGCUCAGUCAUGUGGGCACAUAUCAAUAUUCUUCCGCCGAUCAGCAGCCUCUCCGAGCGACCCUACUGAAACAAAGCCGACGGCAUCACAAGCAGCGAUGAGCGCUUCUCCUUCCUUGCUUUGUGCGGUAUUUCAAGUCAAGUUCCUCGAGGGAAUGAUUGUAUUUUAA